GCGGAAGUGGCGGAAUAGGCAGACGCGCUAGGUUCAGGGUCUAGUGGGUAACACCGUGGGGGUUCAACUCCCCCCUUCCGCA
rnacentral:tRNA from 1 species